AUGGAGCAAGAUGCCAGUAAUCAGCUUACUAGGAAUACCACUCCUGCUCCCAGUGGAUCUAAGUCCAGAGUCAACUAUCUCCUUCCUUGUACUCCUGUUGGGCGAUCCCCCCUGGGCUCUUCUGCUCUGUCUAACUGCCAGGUGGCUCCUAUCACCAAAAGCUAUGUAGAUGCUGUCGAGAAAACCAACUUAGUGGACUGUGGCAACAGUUUGUUGGUGCAGUUCGAUUCUGUGGUUAAUGGCACUACCAGCAUUGGUUUCAACCCCCUGGCGCCAUCUGCUACUACCCUCUCUUGCCCAGCUCCCCAGCCUCUGGCCAAUAGGCCUGACAAAGGGAAGUGGGGCCCUAUGGUUGCCACUAGGAUGAGCAACAGGAUAAAGAGAGAUGGUAAAAAUGCUAUAGCUAAGGCUCAAGAUAUUAAAAAAGUGCAAAACCUGGAAGUUCCCAAAGGUAGAACUGCAGCCUUUUCUGUUAAUUCCUUUGCUUGCUUAGAUAAUGAUCUGCUCUUACAUAAUGCUAAUUUGUCUGGUUUAAGACUUGGGAAUGAUCCUAGUAGUUGUAAUAAUAAUAUUGACUUCAUUAAAAAAAUUGAACUUGAGAGGUUGUCUAAUUUCCAUAAAGAUAACCCUGAUAUGUUUCUUCCUCCUGGCACUGAUGCUGAUAGGGAGGUUUCUUUAAGUAAUAUUAUUGACACUGAGAAGCAUCCUUCCCCUAGCACUGAAAAUAAAUCAGACAGGGAAGAGGGUGAACUCCCUUGGUUGGAAGUAUCCCACCAAAGGAACAAAGAAGUUUCAUCUAGAAGUAGAUCUAAUAAUAAUAAUCAUUUCCUAUGA
rnacentral:rRNA from 1 species